rnacentral:rRNA from 1 species
CACCUGCCGGCGACCGGCGCACGGGUGAGUAACACGUAUGCAACCUGCCCCUGUCAGGGGGACAACCCGCCGAAAGGCGGGCUAAACCCGCGUACAUGCCACCGGGGCAUCCCGGAGGCAGGAAAGGCUUCGGCCGGACAGGGAUGGGCAUGCGGCGCAUUAGGCAGUAGGCGGGGUAACGGCCCACCUAACCGACGAUGCGUAGGGGUUCUGAGAGGAAGGUCCCCCACACUGGUACUGAGACACGGACCAGACUCCUACGGGAGGCAGCAG